rnacentral:rRNA from 1 species
GACGAACGCUGGCGACGUGCUUAACACAUGCAAGUCGAACGGAAAGGCCCUGCUUUUGUGGGGUGCUCGAGUGGCGAACGGGUGAGUAACACGUGAGUAACCUGCCCUUGACUUUGGGAUAACUUCAGGAAACUGGGGCUAAUACCGGAUAGGAGCUCCUGCUGCAUGGUGGGGGUUGGUAAGUUUCGGCGGUUGGGGAUGGACUCGCGGCUUAUCAGCUUGUUGGUGUGGUAGUGGCUUACCAAGGCUUUGACGGGUAGCCGGCCUGAGAGGGUGACCGGCCACAUUGGGACUGCGAUACGGCCCAGACUCCUACGGGAGGCAGCAGUGGGGAAUAUUGCACAAUGGGCGGAAGCCUGAUGCAGCAACGCCGCGUGCGGGAUGACGGCCUUCGGGUUGUAAACCGCUUUCGCCUGUGACGAAGCGUGAGUGACGGUAAUGGGUAAAGAAGCACCGGCUAACUACGUG